rnacentral:rRNA from 1 species
UAAGAAAGCGUUGUAGUUAAUACUCACAGCGAUUGCGUUUAGCCCCCGAAGAAGCCCCGGCUAACUCCGUGCCAGCAGCCGCGGUAAUACGGAGGGUGCAAGCGUUAAUCGGAAUUACUGGCGUAAAGCGCGCGUAGGCGGUUUGUUAAGUGAGAUGUGAAAGCCCCGGGCUCAACCUGGGAAUUGCAUCUCAUACUGGCAGGCUAGAGUAUGGUAGAGGUGGGUAGAAUUCCUGGUGUAGCGGUGAAAUGCGUAGAGAUCAGGAGGAAUACCGGUGGCGAAGGCGGCCCACUGGACCAAUACUGACGCUGAGGUGCGAAAGCGUGGGGAGCAAACAGGAUUAGAUACCCUGGUAGUCCACGCCGUAAACGAUGUCAACUAGCCGUUGGGGAGUUUAAUCUCUUUAGUGGCGCAGCUAACGCACUAAGUUGACCGCCUGGGGAGUACGGCCGCAAGGUUAAAACUCAAAUGAAUUGACGGGGGCCCGCACAAGCGGUGGAGCAUGUGGUUUAAUUCGACGCAACGCGAAGAACCUUACCUACUCUUGAAAUCCAGAGAAUUUAGCAGAGAUGCUUUAGUGCCUUCGGGAACUCUGAGACAGGUGCUGCAUGGCUGUCGUCAGCUCGUGUUGUGAAAUGUUGGGUUAAGUCCCGUAACGAGCGCAACCCUUAUCCUUAUUUGCCAGCGGGUCAUGCCGGGAACUCUAAGGAGACUGCCGGUGACAAACCGGAGGAAGGCGGGGACGACGUCAAGUCAUCAUGGCCCUUACGAGUAGGGCUACACACGUGCUACAAUGGGGCGUACAGACGGUUGCGAAGCAGCGAUGUGAAGCCAACCCGACAAAGCGUCUCGUAGUCCGGAUCGCAGUCUGCAACUCGACUGCGUGAAGUCGGAAUCGCUAGUAAUCGUGAAUCAGCAUGUCACGGUGAAUACGUUCCCGGGCCUUGUACACACCGCCCGUCACACCAUGGGAGUUGAUUGCACCAGAAGUAGGUAGCUUAACCUUCGGGGGAGCGCUACCACAGAGUGUUAGUCGG